UACGGAGGGGGUUAGCGUUGUUCGGAAUUACUGGGCGUAAAGCGCGCGUAGGCGGAUCGGAAAGUUGGGGGUGAAAUCCCGGGGCUCAACCCCGGAAUUGCCUUCAAAACUCCCGGUCUUGAGGUCGAGAGAGGUGAGUGGAAUUCCGAGUGUAGAGGUGAAAUUCGUAGAUAUUCGGAGGAACACCAGUGGCGAAGGCGGCUCACUGGCUCGAUACUGACGCUGAGGUGCGAAAGCGUGGGGAGCAAACAGG
rnacentral:rRNA from 1 species